UGGGGAAUUUUGGACAAUGGGCGAAAGCCUGACCAGCAAUGCCGCGUGUGUGAAGAAGGCCCUCGGGUUGUAAAGCACUUUUGUCCGGAAAGAAAUCCUUGGCUCUAAUACAGUCGGGGGAUGACGGUACCGGAAGAAUAAGCACCGGCUAACUACGUGCCAGCAGCCGCGGUAAUACGUAGGGUGCAAGCGUUAAUCGGAAUUACUGGGCGUAAAGCGUGCGCAGGCGGUUUGCUAAGACCGAUGUGAAAUCCCCGGGCUCAACCUGGGAACUGCAUUGGUGACUGGCAGGCUAGAGUAUGGCAGAGGGGGGUAGAAUUCCACGUGUAGCAGUGAAAUGCGUAGAGAUGUGGAGGAAUACCGAUGGCGAAGGCAGCCCCCUGGGCCAAUACUGACGCUCAUGCACGAAAGCGUGGGGAGCAAACAGGAUUAGAUACCCUGGUAGUCCACGCCCUAAACGAUGUCAACUAGUUGUUGGGGAUUCAUUCCUUAGUAACGUAGCUAACGCGUGAAGUUGACCG
rnacentral:rRNA from 1 species